rnacentral:rRNA from 1 species
UACGUACGAGGCGAGCGUUAUCCGGAAUUAUUGGGCGUAAAGAGCGCGUAGGCGGUCCGGUAAGUCCGCUCUGAAAGUCCGGGGCUCAACCCCGGGAGGCGGGCGGAUACUGUCGGGCUAGAGUCCGGAAGAGGCGAGUGGAAUUCCUGGUGUAGCGGUGAAAUGCGCAGAUAUCAGGAGGAACACCGAUGGCGAAGGCAGCUCGCUGGGACGGUACUGACGCUGAGGCGCGACAGCGUGGGGAGCAAACAGG